rnacentral:rRNA from 1 species
UACGGGGGGAGCAAGCGUUGUUCGGAUUUACUGGGCGUAAAGGGCGCGUAGGCGGCCACGACAAGUCACUUGUGAAAUCUCCGGGCUUAACUCGGAAAGGUCAAGUGAUACUGUCGGGCUAGAGUACAGAAGGGGCAACUGGAAUUCUCGGUGUAGCGGUGAAAUGCGUAGAUAUCCGGAGGAACACCGGUGGCGAAGGCGGCUUCCUGGACCGACACUGACGCUGAGGCGCGAAAGCUAGGGGAGCAAACGGG